UACGUAGGGUGCGAGCGUUGUCCGGAAUUACUGGGCGUAAAGAGCUCGUAGGUGGUUUGUCGCGUUGUUCGUGAAAACUCACAGCUUAACUGUGGGCGUGCGGGCGAUACGGGCAGACUGGAGUACUGCAGGGGAGACUGGAAUUCCUGGUGUAGCGGUGAAAUGCGUAGAUAUCAGAAGGAACACCAGCGGCGAAGGCGCCACUCUGGGCCGAAACUGACGCUGAGGAGCGAAAGCGUGGGUAGCAAACAGG
rnacentral:rRNA from 1 species